UACGUAGGGUCCGAGCGUUGUCCGGAAUUACUGGGCGUAAAGAGCUCGUAGGUGGUUUGUCGCGUUGUUCGUGAAAACUCACAGCUCAACUGUGGGCGUGCGGGCGAUACGGGCAGACUAGAGUACUGCAGGGGAGACUGGAAUUCCUGGUGUAGCGGUGGAAUGCGCAGAUAUCAGGAGGAACACCGGUGGCGAAGGCGGGUCUCUGGGCAGUAACUGACGCUGGAGGAGCGAAAGCGUUGGGGAGCGAACAGGAUUAG
rnacentral:rRNA from 1 species